GUCCAGGGAUGGGAAUCGAAUCCACAAUGUUCCGCUUACCGGGCAGAUACCAUGUCCACUAGGCUACCCUGGA
rnacentral:tRNA from 1 species